rnacentral:rRNA from 1 species
GUCUAUGGUCAUGCCACCCUGAACAAGCCCAAUGUCUGAUCUCAGAAGCAAAGCAGGGUCAGGCCUGGUUAGUACUUGGAUGGAAGACCACCUGAGAAGACCAGGUGCUGUAGGCA